rnacentral:rRNA from 1 species
UACGUAGGGGGCAAGCGUUGUCCGGAAUCAUUGGGCGUAAAGCGCGUGUAGGCGGCCCGGUAAGUCCGCUGUGAAAGUCGGGGGCUCAACCCUCGGAUGCCGGUGGAUACUGUCGGGCUAGAGUGCGGGAGAGGCGAGUGGAAUUCCUGGUGUAGCGGUGAAAUGCGCAGAUAUCAGGAGGAACACCGGUGGCGAAGGCGGGUCUCUGGGCCGAUACUGACGCUGAGGAGCGAAAGCAUGGGUAGCGAACAGG